rfam:Bacillus shackletonii strain LMG 18435 super11, whole genome shotgun sequence.
AAUUGAAAAAGGCAAACUUAUCGAAAGGUAAGGACGCAAAGCUACGAGUCUAAUAUCCUCUAGGAUAAUGAUAGUCGGGUUGCCAAG